rnacentral:misc_RNA from 1 species
GAUGAAGAACGUAGCGAAAUGCGAUAAGUAAUGCGAAUUGCAGAAUUUCUAGUGAGUCAUCGAAUCUUUGAACGCACAUUGCGCCCUUUGGUAUUCCGAAGGGCAUGCCUGUUCGAGCGUCAUUAUCAACCCUCAAGCCUGGCUUGUUGUUGGACCUCAGGUCGCCGCUCCGGUGGACCGGUCUCAAAGACAAUGACGGCGUCCGUGGGACCCUCGGUGCAAUGAGCUUCUUCCAAAGCACGCAUCAGAGUGGGCUCGCGGGGGCCAUCUCCCCGUCAUAUUUUAUCAAGGUUGACCUCGGAUCAGGUAGGAAUACCCGCUGAACUUAAGCAUAUCAAUAAGCGGAGGA